AAGUCGUAACAAGGUUUCCGUAGGUGAACCUGCGGAAGGAUCAUUUGAGGUUGAGAGUGGUGGGGUGGAGAGUUUGUGAGUGGGGGGGUUUAAGUAGGGGGGUUUCUUCCCCUUCUUUUUCCUCCUCCUUUCCAACACCCAACCCACCCAACAAAAAAGAGAUGGUGUGGUCAUUUUUCCCAAGUUGUGAUUCAAUUGCACACACACAGAUGAUCCAUUGUUGUGGGGUUGAACCCUUUGCAGCAGUGGACAUGUGUUGUGUGUGGUUGGGUUACCAUUUGAUAUGGUUGAAGCUUAUCCCUACCCAUUUACAGGUGAGAAACAAAGACAAAGGAUUGUUAACAAAGAAAACAACUGUCAAUGGUGGAUCUCUAGGCUCGU
rnacentral:misc_RNA from 1 species